rnacentral:rRNA from 1 species
ACUCCUACGGGAGGCAGCAGUAGGGAAUCUUCCGCAAUGGGCGAAAGCCUGACGGAGCAACGCCGCGUGAGUGAUGAAGGUCUUCGGAUCGUAAAACUCUGUUAUUAGGGAAGAACAAAUGUGUAAGUAACUGUGCACGUCUGACGGUACCUAAUCAGA